UUCCCAACAUGAGGCAUAUGAAAUGUGAAAAAAUAAAAAAGCCUCUAUUUGAAUGGAUUGAAGAGGAAACAGUGUGUUUAUCCUGCCUCAGCCUCCUGAGUAGCCGGACUACAGGUGCGCGCCACCACGCCCAGGUAAUUUUUGUAUUUGUAGUAGAGAUGGCAUUUCACCAUAUUGUCCAGGAUGGUCUCGAUCUUCUGACCUAGUCAUCCGCCUGCCUCAGCCUCCCAAAGUGCUGGGAUUACAGGCGUGAGCCACCACGCCCGGCCUGCAUACUGUUUUUCAUAGUGAUUGCAUCAUUGUACAUUCCCAUCAACCGUGUUCAAAGGUGACAAUUUUCCAUACUGUCACCAAUAUUUAUAUUUUUUAUAUAUAGCAACCAUAUUAGCAGGUGUGAGCUGAUAACUCACUGUGGUUUUGAUUUUUAGUUCCCUUGUGAUUAGUGUGUUGAGCACCUUAUUUUAUAUCUGAUAGUCAUUUGUAUGUCUUCCCUGGAGAAGUGUCUAAGUUCUUGGUCCAUUUUCACUUUAUUUUUUAUUUAGUUGGGUAAGUUCCCUGCGUAUUUUGGAUAUUAACCCCUUGUCAGAUAUAUGCUUUGCAAGUAAUUUCUCCCAUUCCAUAAAUUGCCUUAUUAUCUUAUUAACUAUUUCCUUUGUUGUGCAGAGGUCUUUUACCUUGGUGCAGUUCCCACUUGCCAGUUUUUAUUUUAUUUGCCUGUAGUUUUGGUGACAUAUUCAAUAACUCAUGGCCAAAGGCAAUGGAAAGGAGUUUUCUCCUGUUUUCUUCUAAGAGCCUUACAAUUCCAGGUCUUACGUUCAAGUCUUUAAUCCAUUUUGAGUUGAUUUUU
rnacentral:lncRNA from 10 species